AAAUUGAAGAGUUUGAUCAUGGCUCAGAUUGAACGCUGGCGGCAGGCCUAACACAUGCAAGUCGAGCGGUAGCACAGAGAGCUUGCUCUCGGGUGACGAGCGGCGGACGGGUGAGUAAUGUCUGGGAAACUGCCUGAUGGAGGGGGAUAACUACUGGAAACGGUAGCUAAUACCGCAUAAUGUCGCAAGACCAAAGUGGGGGACCUUCGGGCCUCAUGCCAUCAGAUGUGCCCAGAUGGGAUUAGCUAGUAGGUGGGGUAAUGGCUCACCUAGGCGACGAUCCCUAGCUGGUCUGAGAGGAUGACCAGCCACACUGGAACUGAGACACGGUCCAGACUCCUACGGGAGGCAGCAGUGGGGGAUAUUGCACAAUGGGCGCAAGCCUGAUGCAGCCAUGCCGCGUGUGUGAAGAAGGCCUUCGGGUUGUAAAGCACUUUCAGCGGGGAGGAAGGCGGUGAGGUUAAUAACCUCA
rnacentral:rRNA from 1 species